UGCGCAGGCGGUUGUACAAGACGGAUGUGAAAUCCCCGGGCUUAACCUGGGAAUGGCAUUCGUGACUGUAUAGCUAGAGUGUGUUAGAGGGGGGUAGAAUUCCACGUGUAGCAGUGAAAUGCGUAGAUAUGUGGAGGAAUACCGAUGGCGAAGGCAGCCCCCUGGGAUAACACUGACGCUUAUGCACGAAAGCGUGGGGAGCAAACA
rnacentral:rRNA from 1 species